rnacentral:tRNA from 1 species
GUGGAUAUAGCUCAGUUGGUAGAGUGCUUGCCUUGCAUGCACAAGGCCUGGGUUCAAUCCCCAGCACCACA